UACAGAGGGUGCAAGCGUUAAUCGGAAUUACUGGGCGUAAAGCGCGCGUAGGUGGUUCGUUAAGUUGGAUGUGAAAUCCCCGGGCUCAACCUGGAAACUGCAUUCAAAACUGUCGAGCUAGAGUAUGGUAGAGGGUGGUGGAAUUUCCUGUGUAGCGGUGAAAUGCGUAGAUAUAGGAAGGAACACCAGUGGCGAAGGCGACCACCUGGACUGAUACUGACACUGAGGUGCGAAAGCGUGGGGAGCAAACAGG
rnacentral:rRNA from 1 species